AUCAGUUAAGAUGGCAGGGUGGGUGAGAGAUAUUCACAUGAUCAUGAGAACAGUUAAGAUGGCAGGGUUGGGUGAGGGGCUUGUCCAGGGAAGCUCCGCUGGGUGAUCAGGGAUAAUGGUGAACUCCCACGGGGUGGGAGACAUCAGCUGAGGCAGGCAGGACUUCAGACACUCAGGCUCCAGGCUUGCAUAUGGAGACCUGACACUGUAUAAUGUUGAUGGUGCAGUUGAAGUGUGCUUAGGGCUAGGCGUAAUGGUUCAUGCCUAUAAUCCCAGUACUUUGGGAAGCUGAAGUAGGCAGAUCACUUGAGGUCAGGAGUUUGAGACCAGUCUGGCCAACAUGGUGAAACCUUGUCUUUACUAAAAAUAUAAAAAUUAGCUGGGCAUGGUGGCAUACGCCUGUAAUCCCAGCUACUUGGGAGGCUGAGGUGGGAGAAUUGCUUGAACCCGGGAGGUGGAGGUUGCAGUAAGCCAUGAUUGUACCACUGCACUCUAGCCUAGCUACAGAGCACGACUCUGCCUCAAAAAAAAGUGUGCAUAGGAUUUUUUUUGUUAUUAAAGUCCAUAUUUUAUUCAUAUUAUCUUUUUUUUUUUUUUUUUCGAGACCAAGUCUCCCUCUGUUGCCCAGACUGGAGUGCAAUGGCACAAUUUCGGCUCACUGCAACUUCUGCCUCCCAGGUUCAAGUGAUUCUUCUGCCUCAGCCUCCUGAGUUGCUGGGAUUACAGGUGCCCACCCCCUCACCCAGCUAAUUUUUGUAUUUUUAGUAGAGACAGGGCUUCACCAUGUUGCCCAGGCUGGUCUUGAACUCCUGACCUCAAGUGAUCCUCCUGCCUCAGCCUCCCAAAGUGUUGGGAUUACAGGCUUGAGCCACCACACCUUGCCCAUAUCAUCUUAGUUUUGACCUAGUGUACUUUUUUUAUUCCAGAAUCCUGUUCAGGACCCCACAUUACACUUAGUUGUCAUGUCUCCUUAAGCUCCUCUUGGCUGUGACAGUUUCCCAGACUUUACCGGUUUUUGAUGAUCUUGGCAGUUUUGAGCAGUACUGGUUGGGCAUAUUGUAGAAUGUCUCUCAGUUGGAAUUUGGUUGUUUUUUUCUCAUGGUUAGACUGGGUUCGGGGUCUCGGGGAGGAAGACCACAGAGGUAAAGUGCUAUUGCUAUUACAUCACAUGAGGUGUAUGUGAUAGGUAUCAACCUGACCUAUCACUGUUGAUGUUGACCUGGAUCACCUGGCUGAGGUAAUGUUUGUCAGGUGUCUCCACUCUUUUUCCUCUUCUUCUUAUAGUACUGUUUAUGCAUGUAGUUUUUAUUUUUCUUUUCUCUCUGAUAUUUUCCUUUUCUUUUCUUUCUCAACAAGCAAAUCAUCCCUAAGACAUUAGUGUCUCAUGUACACACAAAUAGUGAUUUCAGGCACUGUUCUCAAUUCUGUCACAUUUCCACCAGUUCCAAAAUGGAUUUUUCUUUGGAAAUCCAGCCCUGCCCACAAAACCUAACAGUGGGAGCUCUCCGUCCUCUGUAGGUUCCCAUCUGGGAGAUUGGAGACAAAAGCACGCAGCUCCUUCAGCAUGCCCACACGUCCUCCAUGAACCCAGGUGGCAACUGACUCAGAACCAAGGCCCUUAUUAGUGUCCGAUCAGUCAGGGCAGAGUCCAUGCAUGUGGAUGACUUUCCAGGGUUGCUUCACUUUAUACUUGUGUACUUGUGCAGUUCAUACAAACAACAGCAACAGAACUUUUUUUUUUUUUUGACAUGGAGUCUUGCUGUUGCCCAGGGCUGGAGUGCAGUGGUUUGACUCAGCUCACUGAAACCUCUGCCUCCCGGGUUCAAGCAAUUCUCCUGCCGUGGCCUCCAGAGUAGCUGGGAUUACAGAAUAAAACUAUCCAAACAACAGAGAUUCAUCCUCACUGGAAUAGACACAUUUUGGAUGUGGGUUUGCCAUCUCUGCUCGUAAUGCUUCAGCCAGUGCUGCCACCCAUGGGCUCACAGAAUGCCUCAUCCUCCAUCUUGGCAUUCCACACUGCAUUGUGUCUGAUCAGGGAACUCACUUCACUGCAAAGGAAGUGAAGCGGUGGGCUCAUGGCCGUGGAAAUCGCUGGUCUUACUCCACUCCCCAUCACCUAGAAGCACCUGGCCUAAUGGAAAGGUGAAAUGGCUCACUAAAAUCUGUUACAGUGUCCGUUGGGAGACAGCACCCUGAAAGGAAUGGGUUCUGCUUUACAGGAUGCAGUUUCUGUUUUGAAUCAGAGGCCACGAUAUAGUGCUGUCUCCCUCAUAGCCAGGAUAGUCCAGGAAUCAAAGGGUGGAUGUGGGAGUGGAUCCUCUCACUGUUACACCCAAUCACCCACUUGCAGAAACUUUGCUUCCUAUCCUGGCAACUCUGAGCUCUGCUGGUUUUGAGAUCUUUGUCCCCCAGAGGGGGAUGCUUCCACAAGGAGACACCACAAUGGUUCUUCCCGUUUGGAAGAGGAGACUGUCACCUGGACGUUUUGGGUUCCAUAUGCUGUUGAACUAAGCAUGGGCAAAAGGAGAUGAGGUGGGGAGGACAGUUAAUCUGCUGGCUGGAGAGAAUGAUCCUGAUGACCACAGGGAAACUGAAUUGCUACACAAGGUGGAAAGGACUAUGUCUGGAACCCAGAUUCUCUGGGGUGCCUCUAGUUCUUCUAUGUCUGAUAGUUAAUGGAAAACUACAUGAAACCAAAAAACAGGUGCGGGGAGGAGAAGGGGUAAGAACAACAAAGAUUGACUUUGGCAAUAAUUUCAGUCAUUCCACCAGAUAAAGAAUCCACAGCAGCUGAAGUUCUGGCUGAGGGGAAGAAUAAUACGGAAUUGGCUUCCUGCAGAAGGAAGCCAUACGUAUAAACUACAACCUUAAUGAUCAAUUACAGAAAUAAAGUAGCUUUGCAUAUUU